UCCUACGGGAGGCUGCAGUGGGGAAUAUUGGACAAUGGGCGAAAGCCUGAUCCAGCAAUGCCGCGUGAGUGAUGAAGGCCUUAGGGUUGUAAAGCUCUUUUAACGGGGAAGAUAAUGACGGUACCCGUAGAAUAAGCCCCGGCUAACUUCGUGCCAGCAGCCGCGGUAAUACGAAGGGGGCUAGCGUUGCUCGGAAUCACUGGGCGUAAAGGGUGCGUAGGUGGAUCUUUAAGUCAGGGGUGAAAUCCUGGAGCUCAACUCCAGAACUGCCUUUGAUACUGGGGAUCUUGAGUUCGGGAGAGGUAAGUGGAACUGCGAGUGUAGAGGUGAAAUUCGUAGAUAUUCGCAAGAACACCAGUGGCGAAGGCGGCUUACUGGCCCGAUACUGACACUGAGGCACGAAAGCGUGGGGAGCAAACAGGAUUAGAUACCCGGGUAGUC
rnacentral:rRNA from 1 species